rnacentral:rRNA from 1 species
UCAACCUGGUUGAUCCUGCCAGUAGUCAUAUGCUUGUCUCAAAGAUUAAGCCAUGCAUGUCUCAGUGUAAACACGUUGAACUGUGAAACUGCGAAUGGCUCAUUAAAUCAGUUAUUAUUUACUUGAUCGUGGUGUGCACAUGGAUAACUGUGCUAAAUGUAGAGCUAAUACAUGCCUCAAAUCCCGCGUUCGAG